rnacentral:rRNA from 1 species
AUUGAACGCUGGCGGCGUGCCUAACACAUGCAAGCCGAGCGGUAACAGGUGUAGCAAUACAUGCUGACGAGCGGCGGACGGGUGAGUAACGCUUGGGAAUCUGCCUAUUAGUGGGGGACAACCCGGGGAAACUCGGGCUAAUACCGCAUACGCACUACGGUGGAAAGCCGGGGACCGCAAGGCCUGGCGCUAACAGAUGAGCCCAAGUCGGAUUAGCUAGUUGGUAGGGUAACGGCUACCAAGGCGACGAUCCGUAACUGGUCUGAGAGGACGACCAGUCACACCGGAACUGAGACACGGUCCGGACUCCUACGGGAGGCAGCAGGUGGGGAAUAUUGGACAAUGGGCGAAAGCCUGAUCCAGCGACGCCGCGUGGGUGAAGAAGGCCUGCGGGUUGUAAAG